rnacentral:lncRNA from 1 species
AAUGGUUUUUUGGGACUGUACCUUAGGUACACCUUAAUGACCUUUAAGUAUUACCUUAAGAGACCCUAGGUACUACCUUAACUAAACUUGAACUCAACCUCUCCCAAGCCUCGGGCUUUCCUUUGUGAGCCUUAGAGCAUCUCAUUAUGUGGUUCUCUUGAGUGCUCAAGUGGUCCACCAAAGGUUUUUUGCAAUUGUACCUUAGGUACUACCUUAAGAGCCCUUAGGUACUACCUUAAUGGCCUUUAGGUACUACCUUGAGGGACCCUAGGUACUACCUUAGCUAAACAUGAACUCAACCUCUCCCAAGCCUCGGGUCUUCCUUUGUGACCCUUAGAGCAUCCCAUUAUGCGGUUCUCUUGAGUGCUCAAGAGGUUCACCAAAGGUUUUUUGGGACUGUACCUUAAGUACUACCUUAAGGGCCCUUAGGUACUACCUUAAUGGCCUUUAGGUACUACCUUAAGGGACCCUAGGUACUACCUUAACUAAACAUGAACUCAACCUCUCCCAAGCCUCGGGUCUUCCUUUGUGACCCUUAGAGUAUCCCAUUAUGUGGUUCUCUUCAGUGCUCAAGUGGUCCACCAAAGUUAUUUUGCACUGUACCUUAGGUACUACCUUAAGGGCCCUUAGGUACUACCUUAAUGGCCUUUAGGUACUACCUUAAGGGACCCUAGGUACUACCUUAGCUAAACUUGAACUCAACCUCUCCCAAGCCUCGGGUCUUCCUUUGUGACCCUUAGAGUAUCCCAUUAUGUGGUUCUCUUCAGUGCUCAAGUGGUCCACCAAAGUUAUUUUGCACUGUACCUUAAGUACUACCUUAAGAGCCCUUAGGUACUACCUUAAUGGCCUUUAGGUACUACCUUAAGGGACCUUAGGUACUACCUUAAGGGACCUUAGGUACUACCUUAAAGUAAACUUGAACUCAAC